UACAGAGGUCCCAAGCGUUGUUCGGAUUUACUGGGCGUAAAGGGCGCGUAGGCGGCCACUGCAAGUCAGUUGUGAAAUCUCCGGGCUUAACCCGGAAAGGUCAACUGAUACUGCAGGGCUAGAGUGCAGAAGGGGCAACUGGAAUUCUCGGUGUAGCGGUGAAAUGCGUAGAUAUCGAGAGGAACACCUGCGGCGAAGGCGGGUUGCUGGGCUGACACUGACGCUGAUGUGCGAAAGCUAGGGGAGCGAACGGG
rnacentral:rRNA from 1 species